CUUUCACACAAAUUACUUUUAUGGCCAUUGUGGGCAGUCUAUCAUUACUGUUUGGGCCUGCAGGUCUUCCGAAACUUUUAGAAAGUGCCAUUCUGAAAAUAUAGACACAAAAAAGACAUGAGACACAAAAAAUACUGUUUUCAGAGGCAAGGUAACAUUGAUUUAAUGAAAAUAAUAAACCCACCAGAACAUGUUUUAUUUUUCCCAGUAGCCUAUGAAUUCAAAUGUACCGAUUAACCAGCUAAUAAACUCUACAUGAAGUCAUGAUGUUGCACACUCCAUUACAUGCACCUGUUGCUCUGGAUUGUAGUCUGCCAUUACACAAAAGAAAUAGUGCAGUUCCGGGUCCGUGUAACUACAGUGGCAGCAGUUCGCUCAAUAGGGCAGCUAUGUGCAGGUACCCAAGAUGUCGAAGAUUUAACAACGCAGAUUCCCAGUUAACAGUAACUUAAGCCUGCAAAAUGACCAUAAAGUUGAAUCAACACUUCUCUAAGACAGCAAAAAAUCUGAACAGUUUAAUCUUCAUGAAAGUAGGAUUUAUGUGUUGUAUUUGAAUGUAUUAUUUUUAUUCUAUUGUUAGGUUUGCCUAACUGGCAACUGAGUGUUUAUGUUUCUGCAUUCUUCCACCUGUGUAAUUGCCUCCUAAUGCAUAUUUCUGUAAUAAGCAAAAAGUAAAUUUCACCGCCAGCUGUUAUAUACAUUAUGUAGACAUUUCUCUAAACCUAGACAAUAAGUCACAGUAGUUUUCUCCCAAGGCCAAGUUACUGAGUCAUUACUAACAACUAAUGCAUCUGUGAAUGCUUUCAUUUAUGCUUUCAAUAGGUUGUCAGCAAUUAACUCAAAUAAAUCAUCUCUAAUUUGUGCUUUGGAGCUGGACAGUGGAAGUACUGAAUGACAACAGUUAAGGUACUUUCAGAAAGGGAGCGGUUGUUGCUGUGUCUGCUACCUGGUGACACAUGGUGUUGUGCAUUUUGAGAGGGAAGCAGCAAGGCACAACUCUCCCACUGCAGCUAACAGCUACAUUUGAUCGUACUAACAACCACUACAGACUCAUCACAUAGCCAAAGAGUGCGCUGUUGCUGGUUAGGCAUAUGACACGAUUUAUAUAGCCAAUUUGGCAUAUUAAUGCCAUAUGGCUCGUUUAGUGGCCCAAUCUGCAUUAUCAAACUUUGAAGCUAAUGUUGUUCCAAGACCAUUUUUAUUAAUUAGCAAAUCUACGAACAUGUACCUGGUAUAUGACUGUUUUCUCUCUUCUCCACACAUCACAGAACCAGGAACAGAGGACUCAGAGGCAGUGCAGCUACGUGACUCAUUGCUGAGCGUUCAAUGCUCCUCUUCAGCUGGACCCAGACAGUCUGCUAUGACAAGAGGUGAAGUUGCACACUUGUCGCAGAAGCAGUGCAGUCAUCUUGAGCUGGACCCAAGCAUGUUAGCGUUCCACAACAGCCAGAAAUGAAGGAGGACUUCAGCAAUACUUCCCUGACACUAAGACUACACCGUAAAAAUCUCUGGACAUGUACCUGAACCAGAACCACAUGGACUGAGGAACAGGAACAGGGGACUCAGAGGCAGUGCAUCUACAUGACUCUUUGCUGAGCAUUCAGGGCUCCUCAUCAGCUGGACCCAGACAGUCUGUGUGUUGUGAGGGCUGUUGUGAGGGCUGACGGUGAUCUCCUGCUAAUCAGCACCUUUUGGUACAGGCAGAAAUUCAUCCACCAGGCUGUCCAAAAUGGCCUAGACCACAUCUGGCACAGUGGAGAUGCCCAUCCAGUAACUGGAGGUAAUGCUGGUGUGGGAGUCACCAGUUGCCAGGUAUCUGAAAUGAAUGAUAAUGCUGUCAGUAAAAGUAAAACUGCAAAACCUCCAAUCCAACUUAUUUAAAAUACUGUUUAUCAUAUAGCCACCAUUUUAUAAUCAUUUAUAAAUCACUCACCUCUGACAAAUUAUCAGAUGCUCUGUUGGAGAAACUGGCUCAUGGUAAUUUGUCUGGAUCCUUGAGAUCCUAGGUCCAACUUUCCCCAGCAGACUGUCAAACUGCUUCCUGCUGAGCUGAAAGUAGACCUGGAACCAGUCGCUAUGGAAACAGAGCUCCUUCACAAGCCUCAACAAUUCCCAAAACUGCUCUCUGGACCUGAGGGUCUCAUGCACCCACAGCUUCUUCUUCCAUGGUACUCCCCUUCCUCUUCUUACUAGCAGGGCUAGUGCUAACACAUGUUUCUUAGCAUGGGACAGAUGCGUUUUCGUUACUAGCAACAACAAAAUUACAAAGGUAGACGUAAUGAUGUAGUGAUGUAGUGUUGUAACUCCCGCUAGAAGUUUUGUAAAAUCCACCUUUUCUGCUCCGUCCUCCACAACUUCCCUGAACACCUAGUCAGAUUUGCGCUGAACCCAGCAAUGAGCACAGUGCAAAUCACAUUGUGUCUGAAACGGCCUUAAUGACUUAUAAUUUUAAAAGGCUUAUUUCACCCAAAUACUACUUUCUGUCCAAGUACUUAUAAUUUUAAAGGUUUAUUCCACCCACAUACUACUUUCUGUCUAACAACUUUUUUUUUAUUCCACCCUGUCUUGCAAUUUAACUUGGUUGCUAAUAGUCGCAUGUUGGGAAAUUUGUGUAAUUAGCAUAAUUAGCUCAUUAUCAGGUAAAAUAAAUAUGGAAUAAUA